GAUGAAGAACGUAGCGAAAUGCGAUAAGUAAUGUGAAUUGCAGAAUUCAGUGAAUCAUCGAAUCUUUGAACGCACAUUGCGCCCGCCAGCACUCUGGCGGGCAUGCCUGUUCGAGCGUCAUUUCAACCAUCAAGCCCCCAGGGGCUUGUGCUGAGGCCCUGCGGCUGCCCGCAGGCCCUGAAAACCAGUGGCGGGCUCGCUAGUCACACCGAGCGCAGUAGCACAUCUCGCUCAGGGCGUGCGGCGGGCUCCUGCCGUGAAACCCCCCACUGUAACCCCAAAGGUUGACCUCGGAUCAGGUAGGAAUACCCGCUGAACUUAAGCAUAUCAAUAAGCGGAGGA
rnacentral:misc_RNA from 1 species